rnacentral:rRNA from 1 species
AUUGAACGCUAGCGGGAUGCUUUACACAUGCAAGUCGAACGAGUGGUGGACGGGUGAGUAAUAUAUCGGAACGUGCCCAGUAGCGGGGGAUAACUACUCGAAAGAGUGGCUAAUACCGCAUACUAUUGGAGCGGCCGAUAUCGGAUUAGCUAGUUGGUGGGGUAAAGGCUCACCAAGGCAACGAUCCGUAGCUGGUUUGAGAGGACGACAGGCCACACUGGGACGGAGACACGGCCCGGACUCCUACGGGAGGGAGCAGUGGGGAAUGUUGGACAAUGGAGGGAACCCUGCUCCAGCCAGCCCGGGUGUAUGAGAAGGCAUUCGGGUUGGAAAGUACUUUUGGCAGAGAAGCGGUAUCUGCAGAAUAAGCACCGGCUAACUACGUGCCAGCAGCCGCGGCUACCAAUAC